rnacentral:rRNA from 1 species
UAGGUUAGCGGCGGACGGGUGAGUAACACGUGGGUAACCUGCCUGUAAGACUGGGAUAACUCCGGGAAACCGGGGCUAAUACCGGAUGCUUGAUUGAACCGCAUGGUUCAAUUAUAAAAGGUGGCUUUUAGCUACCACUUACAGAUGGACCCGCGGCGCAUUAGCUAGUUGGUGAGGUAACGGCUCACCAAGGCGACGAUGCGUAGCCGACCUGAGAGGGUGAUCGGCCACACUGGGACUGAGACACGGCCCAGACUCCUACGGGAGGCAGCAGUAGGGAAUCUUCCGCAAUGGACGAAAGUCUGACGGAGCAACGCCGCGUGAGUGAUGAAGGUUUUCGGAUCGUAAAACUCUGUUGUUAGGGAAGAACAAGUACCGUUCGAACAGGGCGGUACCUUGACGGUACCUAACCAGAAAGCCACGGCUAACUACGUGCCAGCAGCCGCGGUAAUACGUAGGUGGCAAGCGUUGUCCGGAAUUAUUGGGCGUAAAGCGCGCGCAGGCGGUUUCUUAAGUCUGAUGUGAAAGCCCCCGGCUCAACCGGGGAGGGUCAUUGGAAACUGGGGAACUUGAGUGCAGAAGAGGAGAGUGGAAUUCCACGUGUAGCGGUGAAAUGCGUAGAGAUGUGGAGGAACACCAGUGGCGAAGGCGACUCU